rnacentral:rRNA from 1 species
AUACGGAGGAUGCGAGCGUUAUCCGGAUUUAUUGGGUUUAAAGGGAGCGUAGGUGGGAUAUUAAGUCAGCUGUGAAAGUUUGGGGCUCAACCUUAAAAUUGCAGUUGAUACUGGUUUCCUUGAGUACGGUACAGGUGGGCGGAAUUCGUGGUGUAGCGGUGAAAUGCUUAGAUAUCACGAAGAACUCCGAUCGCGAAGGCAGCUCACCGGGCCGGAACUGACACUGUUGCUCGAAAGUGCGGGUAUCAAACAGGAUUAGAUACCCUGGUAGUCCGCACAGUAAACGAUGAAUACUCGCUGUUUGCGAUACACUGUAAGCGGCCAAGCGAAAGCGUUAAGUAUUCCACCUGGGGAGUACGCCGGCAACGGUGAAACUCAAAUGAAUUGACGGGG